UACGUAGGGGCCGCGCGUUGUCCGGAUUUAUUGGGCGUAAAGGGUGCGCAGGCGGCUCCGCAUGUCGGGCGUGAAAUCCCCGGGCUUAACCUGGGAAUUGCGUCCGAAACUAUGGAGCUGGAGUGUGGCAGAGGGAGGUGGAAUUCCACGUGUAGCGGUGAAAUGCGUAGAGAUGUGGAGGAACACCGAUGGCGAAGGCAGCCUCCUGGGCCAACACUGACGCUCAUGCACGAAAGCGUGGGGAGCAAACAGG
rnacentral:rRNA from 1 species